rnacentral:rRNA from 1 species
GACGAACGCUGGCGGCGUGCUUAACACAUGCAAGUCGAACGGAGAAUUUAUUUCGGUAAAUUCUUAGUGGCGAACGGGUGAGUAACGCGUGGGCAACCUGCCCUUCAGAUGGGGACAACAUCCCGAAAGGGGUGCUAAUACCGAAUACGAUCACGCUGCCGCAUGGCGGUGUGAUGAAAGAUGGCCUCUAUUUAUAAGCUAUCGCUGAAGGAUGGGCCUGCGUCUGAUUAGCUAGUUGGUGGGGUAACGGCCUACCAAGGCGAUGAUCAGUAGCCGGUCUGAGAGGAUGAACGGCCACAUUGGGACUGAGACACGGCCCAAACUCCUACGGGAGGCAGCAGUGGGGAAUAUUCCGCAAUGGACGAAAGUCUGACGGAGCAACGCCGCGUGAGUGAUGAAGGUUUUCGGACUGUAAAACUCUGUUGUUUAGGACGAAAGUGCCUGUUGCAAAUAGUUGCAGGUAUUGACGGUACUGAACGAGGAAGCCACGGCUAACUACGUGCCAGCCGCCGCGGUAA